rnacentral:precursor_RNA from 1 species
UGGUCAGGGCUGGUCAGCCUUGGUCAGUGCCAGUCAAUGUUGGUCAGCCUUGGUCAGU